rnacentral:rRNA from 1 species
UACGUAGGGGGCUAGCGUUGUCCGGAAUCAUUGGGCGUAAAGCGCGCGUAGGCGGCCCGGUAAGUCCGCUGUAAAAGUCAAAGGCUCAACCUUUGAAUGUCAGUGGAUACUGCCGGGCUAGAGUCCGGAAGAGGCGAGUGGAACUCCUGGUGUAGCGGUGGAAUGCGCAGAUAUCGGGAGGAACACCAGUAGCGAAGGCGGCUCGCUGGGCCAUUCCUGACGCUGAGACGCGAAAGCUAGGGGAGCGAACAGG